rnacentral:rRNA from 1 species
GAUGAACGCUGGCGGCGUGCCUAAUACAUGCAAGUCGAGCGAACGGAGGAGAAGCUUGCUUCUCUGAUGUUAGCGGCGGACGGGUGAGUAACACGUGGAUAACCUACCUAUAAGACUGGGAUAACUUCGGGAAACCGGAGCUAAUACCGGAUAAUAUUUUGAACCGCAUGGUUCAAAAGUGAAAGACGGUCUUGCUGUCACUUAUAGAUGGAUCCGCGCUGCAUUAGCUAGUUGGUAAGGUAACGGCUUACCAAGGCAACGAUGCAUAGCCGACCUGAGAGGGUGAUCGGCCACACUGGAACUGAGACACGGUCCAGACUCCUACGGGAGGCAGCAGUAGGGAAUCUUCCGCAAUGGGCGAAAGCCUGACGGAGCAACGCCGCGUGAGUGAUGAAGGUCUUCGGAUCGUAAAGCUCUGUUAUUAGGGAAGAACAUAUGUGUAAGUAACUGUGCACAUCUUGACGGUACCUAAUCAGAAAGCCACGGCUAACUACGUG